rnacentral:RNase_P_RNA from 1 species
CGAGUGGACCGGAUGGUCGCUGGCCGGGCUCGCGCCCGACGAGAGGAAAGUCCGAGCUCCACAGGGCAAUGGUGCUGGUUAACGGCCAGCGGGGGCGACCCCAGGGAAAGUGCCACAGAGACCAUACCGCCGAAGCGGGCUCGCCCGCGGCAGCAAGGGUGAAAAGGUGCGGUAAGAGCGCACCGCGCCCCUGG